ACGAACGCUGGCGGCGUGCUUAACACAUGCAAGUCGAGCGGUAAGGCCCUUUCGGGGGUACACGAGCGGCGAACGGGUGAGUAACACGUGGGUGACCUGCCCUCAGCUCUGGGAUAAGCCCGGGAAACUGGGUCUAAUACCGGAUAUGACUCCAUGACGCAUGUUGUGGGGUGGAAAGCCUUGUGCGGCUGAGGAUGGGGCCCGCGGCCUAUCAGCUUGUUGGUGGGGUGAUGGCCUACCAAGGCGACGACGGGUAGCCGGCCUGAGAGGGCGACCGGCCACACUGGGGACUGAGAUACGGCCCAGACUCCUACGGGAGGCAGCAGUGGGGAAUCUUGCGCAAUGGGCGAAAGCCUGACGCAGCGACGCCGCGUGAGGGAUGACGGCCUCGGUUGUAAC
rnacentral:rRNA from 1 species